rnacentral:rRNA from 1 species
UAGGGAAUAUUGGACAAUGGGCGAAAGCCUGAUCCAGCAAUGCCGCGUGAGUGAUGAAGGCCUUAGGGUUGUAAAGCUCUUUUACCCGAGAUGAUAAUGACAGUAUCGGGAGAAUAAGCUCCGGCUAACUCCGUGCCAGCAGCCGCGGUAAUACGGAGGGAGCUAGCGUUGUUCGGAAUUACUGGGCGUAAAGCGCACGUAGGCGGCGAUUUAAGUCAGAGGUGAA